GCGAAAGUAGUUCAACGGUAGAAUCCUGCCUUCCCAAGGCAGUUGUUGCGGGUUCGAAUCCCGUCUUUCGCUCCA
rnacentral:tRNA from 1 species